AUUGAACGCUGGCGGCAGGCCUAACACAUGCAAGUCGAGCGGAUGAAGGGAGCUUGCUCCUGGAUUCAGCGGCGGACGGGUGAGUAAUGCCUAGGAAUCUGCCUGGUAGUGGGGGAUAACGUCCGGAAACGGGCGCUAAUACCGCAUACGUCCUGAGGGAGAAAGGGGGGGAUCUUCGGACCUCACGCUAUCAGAUGAGCCUAGGUCGGAGUAGCUAGUUGGUGGGGUAAAGGCCUACCAAGGCGACGAUCCGUAACUGGUCGGAGAGGAUGAUCAGUCACACUGGAACUGAGACACGGUCCAGACUCCUACGGGAGGCAGCAGUGGGGAAUAUUGGACAAUGGGCGAAAGCCUGAUCCAGCCAUGCCGCGUGUGUGAAGAAGGUCUUCGGAUUGUAAAGCACUUUAAGUUGGGAGGAAGGGCAGUAAGUUAAUACCUUGCUGUUUUGACGUUACCAACAGAAUAAGCACCGGCUAACUUCGUG
rnacentral:rRNA from 1 species